GCUAUUUUGGUGGUUGGCGCGUUGGCUCUGAUUUUGUGCAACAAGAGACGCAAGGAACGCAAUAAAGAAGAAGACAGUUUUUCUCUGCCUCCAAGAAGAAACCGAAGCUCUCCCAGUGUCCGCUGCAAUCAAAGCCGCUUCAAGUCACGUGUUAGAUUACCUUUUUUGAACCUGCACGGGCUGAACAAAAGCAAAGCUUGCUCUGAAGUUGAGGAUUUCUACACGCGAUGCAAAAACAACGGAGACAAUGCGCUUAGAGUGAUAACAGGAAAAGGCAUCCAUUCAGAAAACGGAGUCCCGCAGAUCAAACCUGCUGUGCUAAACAUGGCUUCUCAGCUGGGCUGGAAUCACCAAGUUGACCCGAAAAACGAUGGCUGCAUUAUUGUAUACAUGGACUGAAGUGGUGCAUUUGGUUCACAAAAUCAACAUUACCA